AAAAUGACUCUCUUCCACCCCCAGUGAGGAAAAAGUAGUAAGUAUUCAAAGCAGAAAACUUAGAAAACAGAAAAACACAAAGAGAAACUUAACAAAACAACAGCGAGUUGCCCAAGUCCUACUGUACAGCUGUAAAAUGAACACUUUGGCACUGUUGCUCCACUGUGUUUACCAGCAUUCUCCCAUUCUGAGCUUACUGUUGUAAGGCUGGUGCCUUCCUUUCAUGGACGAAGAGCGGUUUAAGCCAAGCUUGAUGGUAUCCGUCUAAUCUUGGCACCUGGGAGGCUGCCAGAGGAUCAUUCAUGAGCUUGAGCUCAGCCUGGGCUAGCUACAUAGUAAGUUCCUACCCAUCCUAGGCUACAAAGCAAGAUCCUGUUUUACAAAAAAAAAAAAGAAAAAGAAAAAAAAGAAAAAAAAAGAAAAACAAAGAAAGAAAGAAUGAAAGAAGGAAGGAAAGGAAGGAAGGAAAGGGAAAAAGAAUAGACAGAAAGAAAAAAUGAAAGAAAGCAAAGAAGAAAAGAGGAAGAAAGCAGGGGCUAGUGGCAGAGCUCAGUUGAGUGCUUAUCUCAUAUGCACAGCCCUGGGUUUAAUCCUUAGCACCACAUAAACUGGGCAUGGUGAUGCAUACCCGUAAUCUCAACACCAACAGGGGCUGGAAGUUCAAGACCAUCCUCCGCUAAAUAAUAAGUUCCAGGCCAGUCUGGGUUACAUGAAAUUCUAUUUCUAAAUGGAUGAAUAAAUGAAGGAAUGAAUGAUGAAGGCUAGUCUGGGCUACAUGAGAUUCUAUUUCUUAAUGAGUGAGUAAAUGAAUGAAUGAAUGAAUGAAUAACAAAACAAGGGCUGGCUAGAAUGCGUAGUAGGUUAAUGCUCUUGGUGACAAGUCUGAUAAUCUGAGUUCAGUUCCUGGGACCCAUAUGGUGGAAGGAGAGAACCAACUCCUGCAAGUUGUCCUCUGACCCAGGCCAUGGACUAGCAACCCUGCAUAAAUAAAUAAACGUAAUAGUAUGACAGAAGAGGUUUUUUGUUUGCUUGUUCUUGUUUGUUUGUUUGUUUGUUUGGAGACAGGGUUUCUCUGGCUGUCCUGAAACUCCCUCUGUAGACCAGACUGUCCUCUAACUCAGAUUCAUCUGCCUCUGCCUCCCACGUGCUGGGAUUAAGUGCCCCCCCACCACUACAUAGCAAGAGAGAUUUUUUUUUAAAUUUGUGUGUGUGCACACUCAUGCAAACACACACACACACACACACACACACACACACACACACACACAUGCAUAGACACACACAUGCACACAUGCAUACACACAUACCACCUGUGUGUGGUUAUCUGAGGAAGCUAGGAGAGGGUGUCAGAUUGUGUGGAGCUGGAGUCACAGGUAAGCAACAGGAAUGCUGGGACUCAAACUCCAGAGCUCUGCAGUAGCAGCAGAAGUCACCCAUUACCAUUGCUAAGCCAUCUCUCCAUUCCCGAGACAGAGAGUCUUGAAGGCUAGGGCCUCCGGUGUGUGAUUAAGUCUGUGGUGGGCAUUUUCUGGGUGUAGGAAUUCUUAGUGACAUUCUUAUAUAUAUUUUCAUAUAUUCUCUAAGUUCUUAGAAAGGGAAUACAAAAGUAGAAGCACUCGUAUUUUCCAAUUUUUUUUUUUUGGCGGGGGCGGGGGUGGCCUGGUAUCUCAACAGGGUAACAUCUUUUCAGAGCUGCGCAUGUAUCGGGCACACACAAGGUUUUGAGUAUUUCUCAGCCUGUUUUGCAUCACACAUCGGACUCCUUGAGAUACAGUCUCUUUAUAGUCCCUGGAUUGUUCUGGUUUGACUGGGAAACAGCCGGCUUCUAAUGAGUCAGGGCAGCAAGUGCAAAACACAUAUCCUUACUGUCUUGUGCCAAGAUUGUAAUGUCCCUGGGGACAGAGACAUUGUCAUCAACCUAUUUGUCUGUAAACAGUUAUUGAAUGACUGUAUAGUCAGAGGGGAAGAUACAAAGAAGGCCCCUGCCACAUACAAGUUUUGAUGUCUGGAUAAGAGAGUUGACAUGAAGCCUCAUUAUUUGUGAGCACUCACUAUGGGUCGAGAACUAACUGAGAUGUGGUUGAGGGGAGGGAGGAUGAUGGCACAGAGAAGGCUGCUUUCCUCUUCCUCCUCCUCGUCGUCUCUCCCUCUCCCUUUCUUUCUUCUCUCCCUCUAGUUUUAGGUAAAGUUCACUAGCCAUAUAGGGUACUAAGUGACAUAUAGACACAAAUGCUAUAGGGUUGGUUAUAGGCAUUGUGGCACUAAGGCUAUUUUGGAAAGGAAGCUCAUUGUACUAGAUAAAUUUCAGAGAGAAGAUAGGACAAUAGUUGUGGCCUAAAAAUAGCUGGAAUUUGAUGAAGUGGAGUGGAGAGGGUUUUCCAUGUGCGUGAUGGCAGUAAUGAUUGUUUAAUAAUGACUGCCAGCUGUAGAGCAUGUGGAGCAGAGAGAGGGUGCAGGGUUGUAAGGGACCAGAGAAAGAAGAGGUGCAUAUCGGAAGCACUCAGACUUCAGAACCCAUAGCUGUAGCGAGAAGAAAGCUCCAACUUUGUCAUUGAUCAAAGCUUCAGUUUCUCGAAGAACCACAGUGCCUCCAGGCCCAUCCUUGGACUUUGUCUACCUUUAUCUGUUCAUACUGUGUCCUUGGUGAGCUCAGCUAGCCAGACAUAUCUUUAUGUCUGUAUGCUGAUGACUCCCAAUUUAUUUGUUUAUCUUCAAAUCUCUAAGCCUGACUUCUCUGAACUCGAGAUCUCUCUGCCUACUAUACAAUUUCUACUUGAGUGAGUGAUUAAAAUUUAUUGUUUCUAUAGCUGAAUUCCUGUAACUUUCCCCACUUCAGUUAAGGCAAGUCUCCAUUCUGUCAAUUAUCACAUCAGAAGUUUUGCAGCCAUUCUCUGUUCUUUCUCUAACUUCUGAAAGCAAAUCCUGAAAACUGUCUUCAAAAUAUAUCCCAAAUUUGACUGAUUCUCAUCACUCUAAAUAGCUACCAUCGUCUCUUACCUGCUUAUUAUGGUCGACUCCAUUCUGGCCCUCCUCCUUCCCUUAUUGCCAACAGUCAAUUCUCAGCACAGUAGCCAGUGGUCCUGUUGCUUUAUUUCCUGUGCUGAAAAAUACCCUUUGAUGCUCCUUCUUACAUAAAGAAUAAGCCCAUCCCUGGUCUACGACAUCCACUGAUGUGGGCUCUACCUCACCAUUACCUCUGUAAUUUAAUUUGGUAAUACCCUUCCAUUCCCUGUCCUCUAGUUACCUUGGCUCCCUCAUGUCUCUUGCGCAUACCCAGCCUAUCAACCUUGAGAUAUACAGCAAUCCUUCCCUACAUAGCCCUGUGCCUGGCUCCCUCAUCUCCUUUAGGUCUUCACUCAGAAAAGACGUAUUCUAGUAGCAGAAACUGGACUGAGUUUCAGAACAGAGUAACCAAGGUAGUUGUAUAAGUCUGUUUUCUGUUAAGUAACUAUGGCAAAAUACGUAAACCUUGGACUGGCAAGAUGGCUCACUGGGUAAAGAACCGUGCCACCAAGCUGAUGACUUGAGUUUGAUUUCUAGGACCUACAUGAUAGAAAGAGAGAGAAUUGAUUCCUGCAGGUUGUCUUGUGACUUCCACAUACAUACUGCAGCAUGCACACAGCUCCUCCAUAAGAUAAAAUGUAAUGGAGGGGAAAUUCUUUAAAAGAAGCUUAUUUUUAAGAAAGAAAUUUAACCAGGUGUGGUUGUACACACCUAUAAUCAUAGUAUGUUAUUGGUGGAGGUUGGAGACCUGGAGUUUUAAAGCAAUCUUUCCUUGGUCUACAAUGCAAAUUUGAGGCCACUCUGGGCUUCAUGAGACCCUGUAUUAAGACUUGAAAACU
rnacentral:lncRNA from 1 species